rnacentral:rRNA from 1 species
GCCUAAAUCUGGCCCAACCACGCACAACGUCAUGCCUAAAAAAUUCACCCGAUCCUCAAACUAAAGCAUUAUCAAAACUUAGUAUAGGCGAUAGAAAAGACCAACCCACUGGCGCAAUAGAAAGCUGUACCGUAAGGGAAAGAUGAAAUAAUAAUGAAAACACAAGCAAUAAACAGCAAAGAUAAACCCUUGUACCUUUUGCAUCAUGAUUUAGCAAGAACAACCAAGCAAAACGAACUUAAGCUUGCCCCCCCGAAACCCAAGCGAGCUACUUACAGGCAGCUAUUCUGAGCGAACCCGUCUCUGUUGCAAAAGAGUGGGAUGACCUGUUAGUAGAGGUGAAAAGCCAACCGAGCUGGGUGAUAGCUGGUUGCCCGUGAAAUGAAUCUAAGUUCUACCUUAACCUUCUCCCCAUCAAUGAACUUCAACUAAUCACCCCUUAACGUGGAAAGUUAAGAGCGAUUUAAAGGAGGUACAGCCCCUUUAAAAAAGGAUACAGCCUCCCCUAGCGGAUAAAUCUUCCCCAACCUGCAACCCUGUAGGCCUUAAAGCAGCCAUCAACAAAGAAUGCGUCAAAGCUCACUACCCAAAAGAUCCAGAAACCUCAUGACUCCCUUACCCCUAACGGGCUAACCUAUACCUAUAGGAGAAUUAAUGCUAAAAUAAGUAACUUGGAGCUCCUCUCCUCUCAAGCGCAAACUUACAUUUUUCCCCAAUUAUUAACAGACCAACUAAUACUGCAGUUCUAACAAGCCCAAACAUUAAUCUUACCCUGUUACCCCAACAUUGGAGCGCCCAUUAAGAAAGAUUAAAAUCUGUAGAAGGAACUAGGCAAACCCAGGGCCCGACUGUUUACCAAAAACAUAGCCUUCAGCCGACCAAGUAUUGAAGGUGAUGCCUGCCCAGUGACAUACGUUCAACGGCCGCGGUAUCCUAACCGUGCGAAGGUAGCGCAAUCAAUUGUCCCAUAAAUCGAGACUUGUAUGAAUGGCUAAACGAGGUCCUAACUGUCUCCCACAGAUAAUCAGUGAAAUUGAUCCCCUUGUGCAAAAGCAAGAAUAACCACAUAAGACGAGAAGACCCUGUGGAACUUUAAAAUCAUCGGCCACUCCACAAACAACCCUAAACCUACUAGGCCCACUACUCUCAAAUACUGGCCCACAUUUUUCGGUUGGGGCGACCUUGGAGAAAAACAAAUCCUCCAAAAACAAGACCACACCUCUUAACCUAGAGCAACACCUCCACGUGCUAACAGCAACCAGACCCAAUACAAUUGAUUAAUGAACCAAGCUACCCCAGGGAUAACAGCGCAAUCUCCUUCAAGGGCCCAUAUCGACAGGGAGGUUUACGACCUCGAUGUUGGAUCAGGACAUCCUAAUGGUCCAGCCGCUAUUAAGGGUUCGUUUGUUCAUCGAUUAACAGUCCUACGUGAUCUGAGUUCAGACCGGAGCAAUCCAGGUCGGUUUCUAUCUAUGACGAACUUCCCCCAGUACGAAAGGACCGGGAAAGUGAGGCCAAUGCCACAAGUACGCCUCCCCCAUAAGUAAUGAACCCAACUAAAUUACCAAGGGAACGCCCUAACCCUUAUGCCCUAGAUAAGGGCCAA